UACGAAGGGGGCUAGCGUUGUUCGGAUUUACUGGGCGUAAAGGGCGCGUAGGCGGCGCGGUAAGUCACUUGUGAAAUCUCUGAGCUUAACUCAGAACGGCCAAGUGAUACUGCAGUGCUAGAGUGUGGAAGGGGCAAUCGGAAUUCUUGGUGUAGCGGUGAAAUGCGUAGAUAUCAAGAGGAACACCGGAGGUGAAGACGGGUUGCUGGGCCAACACUGACGCUGAGGCGCGAAAGCCAGGGGAGCAAACGGG
rnacentral:rRNA from 1 species